AUUGAACGCUGGCGGAAUGCUUUACACAUGCAAGUCGAACGGUAGAGGGGGCAACCCCUUGAGAGUGGCGAACGGGUGAGUAAUAUAUCGGAACGUGCCCAGUCGUGGGGAUAACGUAGCGAAAGUUACGCUAAUACCGCAUACGAUCUAAGGAUGAAAGCGGGGGAUCGCAAGACCUCGCGCGAUUGGAGCGGCCGAUAUCAGAUUAGGUAGUUGGUGAGGUAAAGGCUCACCAAGCCUACGAUCCAUAGCUGGUUUGAGAGGAUGAUCAGCAACACUGGGACUGAGACACGGCCCAGACUCCUACGGGAGGCAGCAGUGGGGAAUCUUAGACAAUGGGCGGCAAGCCUGAUCUAGCCAUGCCGCGUGAGCGAUGAAGG
rnacentral:rRNA from 1 species